GCGUUUCAUUCCGAGCGAUCCGGCGGCGUCGGGUCCGGCAACCUGGGACGGACUCCCAAGGUGCCAUCCCACCACACGGUGGGGAUGUGGUCCGCAGGGACAACCAAGGGUCCGAUA
rnacentral:ncRNA from 2 species